rnacentral:lncRNA from 1 species
AUCCACCCAAAAGGGAUCUCUUUUUCCUUUCCCCCCAUGGGCACCCCUAGUGAAGCCACAACCACAGGGUGGGAACCUAACACUACCAGAUAUCCUGAAACUAGUCCAUUCAACUCCUUCCACAAAAGGAUCUCUUCUUCAGGGGAAGGCAUCAGCCCAACAUUUACUAUUUUCAUCUGACUCAGUCUCUAUCAACAAAGUUCCCAUUUCCAUGGUAACAUGGAAUCAAUAUACAGUUGAAACUGACAUCACAAUAAAGGCCCCUAUAAAAGGAAUUAACUGAGCUCAGUUGGGUUACCUUGGACUAAGGUCCCCAUCAACCCUUACCUCUAUUCAUUUUCUCCCCUGAACGAUGGGUGCAAAUUGUACGCACCAUUAUAGGAAACAGAGAAAAACAGAUUUAAACAGAAGACAGGCUUCUGGAAGAAAAAAAUUUGACACCUCUUUGCCUGAUGGUACCCUUGCCCCAUCAGAUGACUCCUCGGUGUCCACAAUGACUGACAACAAUACUUCAGGCUAUAAACACCAAAUGAGCUUCCCUUGCUUCAGAAACAGUGAGUAUUCUUAUCCUGGCACUAAACAGAGGAUACAAUUUGUACAUCCUGAUCUUGUUCCAAUAGCAUCUUAGGAAAGAGAAGCUGGGAUAGGAGGGCCAAAGAGAGAGAAAGACACCAGAAAAUCCUGGUUCCUUUCUCAUAUUUCAAUCCCCACAUGUCACCCUGUGACCAUGUGAAACAGAGAUAGUUUCCCUUGUAUUUUAUAGCCCCUCCCUAUAAUCAUACCAUGCUUACCUGGUCCAUAGUUUUCAUUCACGAUCUUUCUUCCUCAGUGCCUCAGAGAAAAACCAUCACUUUAGCAUUCUCUCUGACUUCAUCCUCAGUUCCUCUCACUGCAGGUAGCAGCCAUUUGCAUUUUUGAUGAAUGCUGGUAAAUUUUGCUGCAUUUAAUUAUGAAGUUGAAAGCUAGCUACUGGUCCUAGACUCAUAACAUCACAGACUUAGAUCUCGAAGUGAACUUCCAGGCUAUCUAGUUUAAUCUACUCCUCAUGAUAAAAUUAAAUAAUAAAUUUCCAAUGGAAAAAGCUGUCUUUUCUAUC